rnacentral:rRNA from 1 species
UAUUGACCGAGUGGAAGAUGGCUCUAGCCAAAAAGCAAAGUACUCGAGAUUUUUUGACGUGGGAGAAGGAUGGGCAACCGCACGCGCACUCAUAGGUGGCGCUCGGACGAACCAGCCCAACAAUUCUCUUUCCCCCACGUCUUUUGUCUCGGCGAAAUGCCCAGUAGGCGAAAAGUCAUCGGAAGCAAAGUCUUGCUCUUUCUGUCCUCCUGUUUGCACUUGUCUGGAACCGCGCUGAGGAGCUAAUGCCGCUAGUGUCUUGCCGAUCACGUUUGCGAACUUGCGCUGGCUGUAGGUCAGAAUGCUUUGGUGCAUGGGUGGCGUCUGUUGGAGACUUUGAACGAUGUGGAGACGCGUCGCGGCUCGCAGAAUUUCAUUGCUCUUGGAGCCCUAAGUACAGUGUGUAAAGGUUUUCCUUGUUGCCAUGACGAGCGAACUAGCACCCCGUCCGUCGGGCGAAAGGGAAUCCGGUUCCUAUUCCGGAACCCGGUUGCGGAACCGCACUCACGAUCCUCGUAUUGACACGGUAACGUGAAAGACCCCAGAGAAGCCGUCUGGAGCCCCGGGAAGAGUUUUCUUUUCUGCCUGAGCGUUCAGGUUCCAUGGAAUCCUCUCGCAGGGAGAUAUGGAAUAGAACGCGAAGAGCACCGCAGUUGCUGCGGUGUCCGGGGAGUCCCGUCGGUCCUUGAAAAUCUGGGUGAGGGUCACGUGGAGGCGUCGCACCGGCUCGUACCCAUAUCCGCAGCAGGUCUCCAAGGUCAAGAGCCUCUAGUCGAUAGAC